rnacentral:rRNA from 1 species
UGGGGAAUAUUGCACAAUGGGCGCAAGCCUGAUGCAACCAUGCCGCGUGUAUGAAGAAGGCCUUCGGGUUGUAAAGUACUUUCAGUCGGGAGGAAGGUGGUAAGGUUAAUAACCUUGGCAAUUGACGUUACCGACAGAAGAAGCACCGGCUAACUCCGUGCCAGCAGCCGCGGUAAUACGGAGGGUGCAAGCGUUAAUCGGAAUUACUGGGCGUAAAGCGCACGCAGGCGGUUGAUUGAGUCAGAUGUGAAAUCCCCGGGCUUAACCCGGGAAUUGCAUCUGAUACUGGUCAGCUAGAGUCUUGUAGAGGGGGGUAGAAUUCCAUGUGUAGCGGUGAAAUGCGUAGAGAUGUGGAGGAAUACCGGUGGCGGAGGCGGCCCCCUGGACAAAGACUGACGCUCAGGUGCGAAAGCGUGGGGAGCAAACAGG